rnacentral:rRNA from 1 species
UACGGAGGGGGCUAGCGUUGUUCGGAAUUACUGGGCGUAAAGCGCGUGUAGGCUGCUUGGCAAGUCGGAUGUGAAAGCCUUGGGCUCAACCCAGGAAGUGCAUUCGAAACUGCGAAGCUGGAGUCCUGGAGAGGAAGGCGGAAUUCUCGGUGUAGAGGUGAAAUUCGUAGAUAUCGAGAGGAACACCGGUGGCGAAGGCGGCGACCUGGGUAGAUACUGACGCUGAGGUGCGAAAGCGUGGGGAGCAAACAGG